rnacentral:rRNA from 1 species
UACGUAGGGUGCGAGCGUUGUCCGGAAUUACUGGGCGUAAAGAGCUCGUAGGUGGUUUGUCACGUCGUCUGUGAAAUUCCGGGGCUUAACCUCGGGCGUGCAGGCGAUACGGGCAAUACUUGAGUGCUGUAGGGGAGACUGGAAUUCCUGGUGUAGCGGUGAAAUGCGUAGAUAUCAGGAGGAACACCGGCGGCGAAGGCGGCUUGCUGGACGGCAACUGACGUUGAGGCUCGAAAGCGUGGGGAGCAAACAGGAUUAGAUACCCCGGUAGUCCCUGA